CUGCUGCCUCCCGUAGGAGUUUGGGCCGUGUCUCAGUCCCAAUGUGGCCGGUCACCCUCUCAGGUCGGCUACUGAUCGUCGCCUUGGUGGGCCGUUACCCCGCCAACCAGCUAAUCAGACGCGGGUCCAUCUCAUACCACCGGAGUUUUUCACACUUUAUCAUGCGAUCUCGUGCGCUUAUGCGGUAUUAGCAGUCAUUUCUAACUGUUAUCCCCCUGUAUGAGGCAGGUUACCCACGCGUUACUCACCCGUCCG
rnacentral:rRNA from 1 species